rnacentral:rRNA from 1 species
UGAACGCUGGCGGCAGCCUAACACAUGCAAGUCGAACGGCAGCACAGAGGAGCUUGCUCCUUGGGUGGCGAGUGGCGGACGGGUGAGGAAUACGUCGGAAUCUGCCUAUUUGUGGGGGAUAACGUAGGGAAACUUACGCUAAUACCGCAUACGACCUACGGGUGAAAGUGGGGGACCUUCGGGCCUCACGCAGAUAGAUGAGCCGACGUCGGAUUAGCUAGUUGGCGGGGUAAAGGCCCACCAAGGCGACGAUCCGUAGCUGGUCUGAGAGGAUGAUCAGCCACACUGGAACUGAGACACGGUCCAGACUCCUACGGGAGGCAGCAGUGGGGAAUAUUGGACAAUGGGCGCAAGCCUGAUCCAGCCAUGCCGCGUGUGUGAAGAAGGCCUUCGGGUUGUAAAGCACUUUUGUCCGGAAAGAAAAGCUUAGGGUUAAUAACCCUGAGUCAUGACGGUACCGGAAGAAUAAGCACCGGCUAACUUCGUGCCAGCAGCCGCGGUAAUACGAAGGGUGCAAGCGUUACUCGGAAUUACUGGGCGUAAAGCGUGCGUAGGUGGUUUGUUAAGUCUGAUGUGAAAGCCCUGGGCUCAACCUGGGAAUGGCAUUGGAAACUGGCUUACUAGAGUGCGGUAGAGGGUAGUGGAAUUCCCGGUGUAGCAGUGAAAUGCGUAGAUAUCGGGAGGAACAUCUGUGGCUAAGGCGACUACCUGGACCAGCACUGACACUGAGGCACGAAAGCGUGGGGAGCAAACAGGAUUAGAUANCCUGGUAGUCCACGCCCUAAACGAUGCGAACUGGAUGUUGGGGGCAACUUGGCCCUCAGUAUCGAAGCUAACGCGUUAAGUUCG